rnacentral:lncRNA from 1 species
GAUCAUUGAUAAGUGCUGCAAAGGAAAACAAGAGGACUCUAUGAAGGAGAAUUACCAGUCUCUACCUCUAUGUCCAUCAUUCAAUAAAUAUUUAGUCAAUCCUAAUGUGUGCCAGGCAGCAUUCUUGCUGGGAACACAGCAUUAAACAAAACAGAACAAAACAGACUAAGUUCCUCUUCUCAUGAAGCAGGGGCACAGAUCAUGGAAACCACUAUCAGAACUUGGGAUUUCAUUUAUGUCCAAUGUGAGUCAGGCAUCUCUCCUGGUGGCUGUCUUCCAUGUGGUGACUUAUGUAUCCAGGAUCCUUCUACUGUGUUUCUCCUCCAUUGCGAAGUCCUUCACUUCCAGCACCUGAGACAUUUUUUGGGUAUAUCUACAAGUGGCAUAUAUCACUUCUGCCCACAUUCACCUGGGUAGAACUCAAUCACAUUGUUUCACCUAACUGCAAGUGAGGCUGUGGAAUAUAGUCUCCCUAUGUGCCCAAGCAGAAGAAACAGGAUUGUGUGACUCUACAAUGUGUGAUUGCUCCUGGUGAAUCAAAAGGAUAAAGCUGCUGAUUCUGCAAUUUGAUAACCCAACCAUGCUGACCUCAAAGUGUAGUCAAUCCAUGAAGUUCCUCCCACCACAGCUCAUCCUGAACACUGCCCACCUGAGUCAUCAAGAAAGGUUUAAGUACAUUAUCUGUGCUCUGUUUAAUAUGUCCGUGAAGUGUGUCCUAAAUUUAGUUAUUUCUAGGACCUCUUUCUAGUUUGCAAGUAAGCCAGGUUCUACUGCUGUCAAGUGUUACUCAUGGCUAACUGAGGAAAAGGGGUUCAAAAACAUUGAGAAGACGAAAAGGAGGGAGAAGGCUGG